rnacentral:lncRNA from 1 species
UCAAAAAAAAAAAAAAAAAAGGGAAAACAGGGUGACCCGUGCACCCAUAAACCCAUCCCAUUCGGCUGGGGUAAUUUCCGGCCUCUUCCACCAUUUUUUUCAGGCCAAAUACACCCAUCCAUCACCUGAAAUCUCUUAUGUAACCUCUCCUUUACCAUAUCCACCCAAGAUUGAGGGGUUUUAGGCCAAAAUUCACGAAGAACUUCACCGAGUUCGCGGGUGGGUUCCACGGCUAUCCUACCAUCCAGCGAGUUCUACCACCCACCAUCACCCUUAAUCAACUUCCCUUGGACCCAGGAACAAGACCCAACCAGUUAUGGGGGGUGUUGGAACACCAAAGAAAUCGAAUCGAAGCACACCCUUUAUAGGGUUCCGAUGGGUUUAAGUGAAAUUGGAGCCUUUUCUGGCCAAAUUGAACUUGGCCACAGGUAUAAAUCGAUUCCUCAUGUUGUGUAGAUGAAUUUUCAUGUAUGGAUCGUGUGAUUUGGUGGAGAAAUGAGAAAGUUAUAAUGAUUUAAAGUUUGCCCAGUUUCCGGCCACCUCCGCCACUUUCGAGGCGUUUUACAGCCAAAUCACGGCAAGAUAGUCAUUUUGUAAGGUAUCAAUCUCUUUCUCUCGUCGAGAACUAUGAUUUUUGUUUUUGAAUCACUUGUUUUCGUUGAGUAUUGACAAAGUUAUGGACAUUGAAUGGUUGCCCAGAAAUUCCGGCGAGUUACCAGUUUUCCCGCGGACAGCCGUGUUUCAGACCAUUUUCCAGCCACCUCUGGACACCAUUUGGACUCCAACCUGGUAUAAUCUUGUUAUAAAUAUCUCUAUCUUUGAUUUGGUAUAUUAUGGGUUGAAUUUGGUGAGAAACAAGUGAGAUAUGGAGUUCUAAAGAUCACCCAGGAAAUCUGCAAAAUCUGCAGAAUCCGGCAAAGUCCCAUUUAGGUUCACCACUUGAUUAGAAUAGUAAUCGACGAUCUGACCGUUGGAUUGUCACCAAAUUUUAAUACAUUAUAGUACGUAAUAUUUGAGGACCAUAGAAACUUACAGAUUGGGAAUCCGACGUACGGAUCUUCUCGAAUUGGAUGUGUAAGUUUAUAAAAUAAAUGUUAACCACCACUUGGUUUUGGGCAAUUGGUCGAGAUCCGACCGUUGGAUCGUAAUGAAAUUUUAGUAUGUUAUUUUAGAAGCAUAAUGUGUAUAUUUGGAAGUUACGGAUUGAAAAUCCGAUAUGCGGAUCUUCUGGAUCGAGUUAUACAGGGUUGUAGACCCUAUCGUUGAUCAAAGAUCGACAGUUGACUUGUGGUCAAUGAGUCUCAAACUAUUUUAGAAUGUCCUUGAGGAUGUGCCUUAUGUGAAUUUCGUAUUCUAUUAAUAAGAGUUCUGAGAUGUGAUCCGAUAAUUGUUAUAGGCGCCAAUCUUUGGGGACGUCUCGAUGCGCAUGCUAGAGAAUCAUAGCGUGGACUCUAGGUGAGUGGAUCUUUUCCUUUUAUCAUAGGUAUAUAAUUGAUAGUUCCACAAAUGCUUCUAAAGUGAAUUAUGCAUGACAACUAGUUAUUGUGAACUACGAAUGGCUUGAUCCUUAUUUAGGGUACAUAGGCAGUCUAACGAGACGUUAGAUGCAGCCAUACAAUAAAUGAGACUAAAUAACUGAGACAAUAGCCUUGUUUAGGGAAUUGAGUAAUGUGAGGGACAUUGAUGGAAAAUAUAAAAUUUAACCUUAUGAUUUUGUGGUUAAAUAUUGGUCAUAAAUCAAUGUAUGAAUAAUCAGGAAUUUGAAGUAAGGAAACGUAAGUAAUGAUAGUUAAUUAAACUAGUAUCUAGUUGGGCUUAUCAUUCAUAAUUAUCUCCAAAAAUAAGUAGUUCGGGAGUAGGGCAUUACGGAUUAUGCAUUUCACGCAUGUUAUAUAUAUAUAUAUAUAUAUAUAUACUUGAAAAUACUAUGUUAUGGUUGAGUUUUAGAUUGCAUCAUGACAUAUUUAUGUGUAUUACCUGAACCUAAUUAUUGUGGAUGCUUCGAAGUGCUAAAUGAUGCUGCGGAUGCCCAUGUAAGCUUCAGGUGAGUACUUGUUGAUGAUAGUGAUGGUAGCGAGUAUGUUAAUGAGAUAUUAAUUGACUUGCAAGUUGAUGAGAUAUUGACUCAGCCGUACAGGUCACGUGAGGUGACUCCGGCUAGUAUAUUGAUGAGUGAUAGGAGCAUAUUUAUGCGACUUAGUUGGCUUGUUCUUGUGCAUUUAUGUCGUGUUUCCUUAGUUAUUUUAAUGUUUAAAGUCAUUUUCGUGUGUUUUCAGAUUUUAUGGACAAAGUAG